GGCGCUCGUACAGAUAAAGCGCGACGACUGGGAGCCGAGCCGUUUUGUCGUCUGCGUGCGGCAUUAAGGCUUCUUCGACUUGGUACUGCAAUGAAGCGCCGCAAAUAACUUCCGCUGGUCAUGGUCGAGGAGCAGCAU